AACGAACGCUGGCGGCGUGGAUAAGACAUGCAAGUCGAACGGGAACUUCAGCUGUAGCAAUACAGUUGAAGUUUUAGUGGCGAACGGGUGCGUAACACGUGGGCAAUCUGCCGAGAAGUGGGGGAGUAGCUCGCCGAAAGGACGAAUUAAUACCGCAUAUGAUCAGCUAAGACAUCUUAGCGACAUCAAAGACCGGGGCGAACCUGGCGCUUUUUGUAGGAGCCCGCCGGCCUAUCAGCUAGUUGGUGAGGUAACGGCUCACCAAGGCUAUGACGGGUAGCUGGUCUGAGAGGACGACCAGUCACACUGGAACU
rnacentral:rRNA from 1 species